rnacentral:rRNA from 1 species
AACGAACGCUGGCGGCGUGCUUAAUACAUGCAAGUCGUGCGAGAAAGUCCGACUUCGGUUGGGCGAGUAAAGCGGCGAACGGGUGAGUAACGCGUGGACAAUCUGCCCUUAAAUCUGGGAUAAUUCUCCGAAAGGAGUUGUAAUACCGGAUAAUAUUCCGGGACGGCAUCGUCCUGGCAUCAAAGGCGGGGUAACCUGUCGUUUAGGGAUGAAUCCGCGCUCCAUUAGCUUGUUGGUAGAGUAAUAGCCUACCAAGGCUACGAUGGAUAGCCGGCCUGAGAGGGUGAUCGGCCACACUGGGACUGAGAUACGGCCCAGACUCCUACGGGUGGCAG